rnacentral:piRNA from 1 species
CCUGCCUGCGUAUGUAAUGGUGGCUGAUG